rnacentral:lncRNA from 1 species
UAGGGCGCAGCAGAUAGCUCAGGGGAGACUGACGUCAUCUACUUACUCAUCAUCUGCCGGAAAUCACAAACAUCAUGGUUCCCUGCGUGCUCAUCUCAGGCUUGGUGCUGCUAGCCUACUUCCUGCCGGCUGCCUCACCAGAGCCUGGGCACUGCCGCCCCGGAGAUACGCUGCUGUGGGGAUGCCGUGAACUUCGUGGCCAAGAACAUGAGAGGGCAGGACGGCAUCUGCUUCUGGGUCGCUCGGGUGCUCUUCAGCCUGGGCUCCAACCUUAUCUCAUCGUGGCCUACUUGAACCGAGUGUCCGAUCUCCCCUACCCGCUGGGUAUCCAGCCUU